rnacentral:rRNA from 1 species
GAUGAACGCUGGCGGCGUGCCUAAUACAUGCAAGUCGAGCGAAUGGAUUAAGAGCUUGCUCUUAUGAAGUUAGCGGCGGACGGGUGAGUAACACGUGGGUAACCUGCCCAUAAGACUGGGAUAACUCCGGGAAACCGGGGCUAAUACCGGAUAACAUUUUGAACCGCAUGGUUCGAAAUUGAAAGGCGGCUUCGGCUGUCACUUAUGGAUGGACCCGCGUCGCAUUAGCUAGUUGGUGAGGUAACGGCUCACCAAGGCAACGAUGCGUAGCCGACCUGAGAGGGUGAUCGGCCACACUGGGACUGAGACACGGCCCAGACUCCUACGGGAGGCAGCAGCAGGGAAUCUUCCGCAAUGGACGAAAGUCUGACGGAGCAACGCCGCGUGAGUGAUGAAGGCUUUCGGGUCGUAAAACUCCGUUGUUAGGGAAGAACAAGUGCUAGUUGAAUAAGCUGGCACCUUGACGGUACCUAACCAGAAAGCCACGGCUAACUACGUGCCAGCAGCCGCGGUAA